GGAUUAAUGAACAGUCUUGGCUUGGCUUGUUUAUUUUUCUUGGGUUUUAGGCAUUCCAUGUUCUUAUGCAUUCUUGACUGCUCCACAAGUUGACAAUCUAGGUGUUCAUGCACAGUCUCCCUAUGACUGGAAAGAUGAGUGUGGCUAGCUUACAGGUAUCUUCAGUGCUGGUUAUUUACGGUGUACAAUCCAUCCUGAAUUAUGGGUUUCUCUGGGACAUCGGCAUGUGCCGCAUGGAUGAUGAUGUUGAUCAUGAUGAUCAUGAUGGUGGUCAGUGGAAGAUGUACACGUUGCAUGGGUAAUAAUGGUCCUUGGAAGUCUACAGAUGUGACAGUGAGUUGGGUAAGUGUGGCAAUGGUGAACAGGUGUGUCACAUUGAAUGGUUUUACACACUCUACUGUGGCAAUGAAAUGGUUGAGCGCAAGGAUGGCAACCGUAAGUGCAACUAUGACUGCAACCAUGACUGCAACCAUUACUACAACCAUGACUGCAACCAUGACCAUGACCGUGACCAUGACCGUGACCAUGAACGUGACCGUGAACAUGACCGUGAACAUGACCGUGACCAUGACCGUGACCAUGACUAUGGCCAUGACCAUGACCAUGACCAUGACCAUGACCAUGAGGGGAACAUACUGAGGAAGUGUGAAUGUGAUGCGGGCUGCAGGCACCAGCAAAAGAUUCAUGACAACAUGUAUGUGUUUGACAGCACAGCUGGUGGCAUGAAUCACAAAUUGGGUGGGGCCACAGAGAUUCAUAGAGAAUCAAAGGUCCAGUGUGUUGGUGUGUAUGUGCAUGUUUGU